UACGGAGGGGGCUAGCGUUGUUCGGAAUUACUGGGCGUAAAGGGCGCGUAGGCGGCCUGUUAAGUCGAACGUGAAAUCCCCGGGCUCAACCCGGGAACUGCGUCCGAUACUGGCAGGCUUGAAUUCGGGAGAGGGAUGCGGAAUUCCAGGUGUAGCGGUGAAAUGCGUAGAUAUCUGGAGGAACACCGGUGGCGAAGGCGGCAUCCUGGACCGAGAUUGACGCUGAUGCGCGAAAGCCAGGGGAGCAAACGGG
rnacentral:rRNA from 1 species